rnacentral:lncRNA from 11 species
AACAAAACUUCAAUCAAAGCCAAAUUUCCAGAAAAAAAAACCCUAAACAGACAAGAAACAACACAAGGAAGUCCAUUGAGAUUCCAGUCCUCCUGAAGAACCAACAGCUGGAUAAGGUGUGAGCACGAAAUGGGAACCCCUUCCCAAAAUGAAAAUAAGCUCGGAAUGUAUGCUAUCUGGAUGAGAAAAGAAACCCCCUCGUUUUCUCUGAAACCACAAGAAGAAGAAUAGACCUAUUUACUUUGAACAUAUUUGGGAUCAGGAAGGACAAACUUCUACAUCUAUGCUAUAAAUGACCAGCUUUCCAAAUAUUAGUUUUUGUAGCCAUCUUCAUGCUAAU